rnacentral:rRNA from 1 species
GAUGAACGCUGGCGGCGUGCCUAAUACAUGCAAGUCGAGCGAACAGACGAGGAGCUUGCUCCUCUGACGUUAGCGGCGGACGGGUGAGUAACACGUGGAUAACCUACCUAUAAGACUGGGAUAACUUCGGGAAACCGGAGCUAAUACCGGAUAAUAUAUUGAACCGCAUGGUUCAAUAGUGAAAGACGGUUUUGCUGUCACUUAUAGAUGGAUCCGCGCCGCAUUAGCUAGUUGGUAAGGUAACGGCUUACCAAGGCAACGAUGCGUAGCCGACCUGAGAGGGUGAUCGGCCACACUGGAACUGAGACACGGUCCAGACGCCUACGGGAGGCAGCAGUAGGGAAUCUGCCGCAAAGGGCGAAAGCCUGACGGAGCAACGCCGCGUGAGUGAUGAAGGUCUUCGGAUCGUAAAACUCUGUUAUUAGGGAAGAACAAAUGUGUAAGUAACUAUGCACGUCGUGACGGUACCUAAUCAGAAAGCCACGGCUAACUACGUG